rnacentral:rRNA from 1 species
AUUGAACGCUGGCGGCAGGCCUAACACAUGCAAGUCGAACGGUAACAGGAAGCAGCUUGCUGCUUCGCUGACGAGUGGCGGACGGGUGAGUAAUGUCUGGGAAACUGCCUGAUGGAGGGGGAUAACUACUGGAAACGGUAGCUAAUACCGCAUAACGUCGCAAGACCACAGAGGGGGACCUUAGGGCCUCUUGCCAUCGGAUGUGCCCAGAUGGGAUUAGCUAGUAGGUGGGGUAACGGCUCACCUAGGCGACGAUCCCUAGCUGGUCUGAGAGGAUGACCAGCCACACUGGAACUGAGACACGGUCCAGACUCCUACGGGAGGCAGCAGUGGGGAAUAUUGCACAAUGGGCGCAAGCCUGAUGCAGCCAUGCCGCGUGUAUGAAGAAGGCCUUCGGGUUGUAAAGUACUUUCAGCGGGGAGGAAGGGAGUAAAGUUAAUACCUUUGCUAAUUGACGUUACCCGCAGAAGAAGCACCGGCUAACUCCGUG